rnacentral:rRNA from 1 species
CUACGAGGUGCACCAGUGAGGAAUAUUGCACAAUGGGGGGAACCCUGAUGCAGCAACGCCGCGUGGAGGAUGACGCAUUUCGGUGUGUAAACUCCUUUUAUAUGUCAAGAAAAUGACGGUAGCAUAUGAAUAAGCACCGGCUAACUCCGUGCCAGCAGCCGCGGUAAUACGGAGGGUGCAAGCGUUACUCGGAAUCACUGGGCGUAAAGGACGCGUAGGCGGGUUGGAAAGUCAGGUGUAAAAUCCUACAGCUUAACUGUAGAACUGCACUUGAAACUUCUAAUCUAGAGUAUGGGAGGGGGAGAUGGAAUUAGUGGUGUAGGGGUAAAAUCCGUAGAUAUCACUAGGAAUACCUAAAGCGAAGGCGAUCUCCUGGAACAUUACUGACGCUAAGGCGUGAAAGCGUGGGGAGCAAACAGGAUUAGAUACCCGGGUAGUC